rnacentral:rRNA from 1 species
UACGAAGGGGGCUAGCGUUGCUCGGAAUGACUGGGCGUAAAGGGCGCGUAGGCGGAUGGUACAGUCAGAUGUGAAAUUCCUGGGCUUAACCUGGGGGCUGCAUUUGAUACGUGUUGUCUAGAGUGAGGAAGAGGGUCGUGGAAUUCCCAGUGUAGAGGUGAAAUUCGUAGAUAUUGGGAAGAACACCGGUGGCGAAGGCGGCGACCUGGUCCUUUACUGACGCUGAGGCGCGAAAGCAUGGGUAGCAAACAGG